GCCAUUCAAAGUAAUGGCCAGUAAAGGUUAAAAAAUUAAGUCUAUUUCUAUUGGUUUUAUUCUCCCUCCAACUUUUUGCUGUAAAAUAUUCCCUCCCUCCAAGUUGCAAAUAGAUCUUCUCUGCUAUAGCAAACCGUAAUAUUGAGCAAACUUCUCUCUCUCUCUCUCUCUAUCAUCGUUGUCAGUGCCUAACUCAUCUCUCUCACCAUCACCGGCCACCAUCACCAGGAGAAUUCACAAUAUAGAGAUGUUUCUUAUGCAUUUACAUUAUGUUGUCUUGUCCCAUACUCUAAUAAAGCACAAAUAUAAAUCCAACAUUGAUAGGCUAGUCAGACAAGUUCUUGGAGCAUUGGAACACUGCUUGAAUUAUAUUUUGAACUGGAGGUACACUUUUUUCUGCUGGUGAAGAGAGAUUGGAUUGCGAAAAGUGGCCAGGAAAGCAAGUAGGGUCACAAAGCAGGUGAAGAGAGAUCGGAUUAAGUUGCUCAUUCAAGCUGUGUACUUCUUUUUUGGUGUUGACACUGUAAAAGCUAUGAAUUUAUCAUUUUUGUUUGUAUAUGUGAUG